GAUGAACGCUGGCGGAAUGCUUUACACAUGCAAGUCGAACGGCAGCACGGACUUCGGUCUGGUGGCGAGUGGCGAACGGGUGAGUAAUACAUCGGAACGUGCCCAGUCGUGGGGGAUAACGUAGCGAAAGCUACGCUAAUACCGCAUACGAUCUAAGGAUGAAAGCGGGGGAUCGCAAGACCUCGCGCGAUUGGAGCGGCCGAUGGCCGAUUAGGUAGUUGGUGGGGUAAAGGCCUACCAAGCCGACGAUCUGUAGCUGGUCUGAGAGGACGAGCAGCCACACUGGGGCUGAGACACGGCGAAGACUGCUACGGGAGGCAGCAGGGGGGAAUUUUGGACAAUGGGCGCAAGCCUGAUCCAGCCAUUCCGCGUGCAGGAUGAAGGCCCUCGGGUUGUAAACUGCUUUUGUACAGAACGAAAAGGCUCUGGUUAAUACCUGGGGCUCAUGACGGUACUGUAAGAAUAAGCACCGGCUAACUACGUGCCAGCCGCCGCGGUAA
rnacentral:rRNA from 1 species